rnacentral:rRNA from 1 species
GGAUGAACGCUGGCGGCGUGCCUAAUACAUGCAAGUCGAGCGAACGGACGAGAAGCUUGCUUCUCUGAUGUUAGCGGCGGACGGGUGAGUAACACGUGGAUAACCUACCUAUAAGACUGGGAUAACCUCGGGAAACCGGAGCUAAUACCGGAUAAUAUUUUGAACCGCAUGGUUCAAAAGUGAAAGACGGUCUUGCUGUCACUUAUAGAUGGAUCCGCGCUGCAUUAGCUAGUUGGUAAGGUAACGGCUUACCAAGGCAACGAUGCAUAGCCGACCUGAGAGGGUGAUCGGCCACACUGGAACUGAGACACGGUCCAGACUCCUACGGGAGGCAGCAGUAGGGAAUCUUCCGCAAUGGGCGAAAGCCUGACGGAGCAACGCCGCGUGAGUGAUGAAGGUCUUCGGAUCGUAAAACUCUGUUAUUAGGGAAGAACAUAUGUGUAAGUAACUGUGCACAUCUUGACGGUACCUAAUCAGAAAGCCACGGCUAACUACGUG